CAAACUUACACAUUCAACACAUGAAUAAAUGACCGUGGAUUAACAGCGGAAUAAACAACAACAACAACAACAACAAAGCAUGUUCUUACCUUUAGAAGAUUUUCUUUCUUAUUCGUCCUGGCAGCAAAUUUCCCUGAUAAGGGUUGUAAAGUCCAAUCUCGGCCGGAUUUCAUGUUCGUUCCCCCGAUCUCCACCGACUGACGAUCACCAAAUCAUUUACAUCCGAAAGUAAAGACCUUCCGAGGAGAAAACACCAGCCAUGCUCUGACCAUUUCUCAAAUUAUCAUCACAACACUUCUAGUUAAUGAGACUGGCAGGGACCCAGACCAUGGGACUGUGCAGCACACUGGAGCUUCCACUUGCUGAGGCGGUUCACUAACGCACUGAUCAUUUAUCUACCACUGGCUCAGAUUAUUACCUUCUAGCAGCUUCUAGGAGUUUAAAACAUUAAACAUCUGGACAAACACAAACAGAAGAAAUGUUCCUAAUUCUGUUCCUGAUUUUUAAAGUAUAAAUUGUUUUAGUUAAAUCGUGUUUAAUCAAGUUUAUGGACUGGAUUCAACAACCGCCCUUAUACUUCCAUUAUCAGUCACUCAAGAAAUCAGACUGUACAGCUCCUCCCCUUCUCUAAAACAUAACACACACCGAAAUGCUGCCCUGUUGUUGAGUUACUGCUUUUUGAACAUGUACCGUUAUAAAGAAUAUUUCUGUUUUGCUUGUUUACUUU
ensembl:lncRNA